GGACAUCUUAACCAUAUCUAAUAAUGAAAUGUUAACCAUGGGUAACGCUUCUUUAAGUAGCCUCGUUGGGAUGGGGUCUAAGAGACAGGUAGUGAGCUUAGCUUUAACAUUGUCUUUAGGAUAAAAGCAGUCUAAGUAUAUGUCAGGUCUUGUCUUUCUUUCUAGCAGUCCUGCAUUUAAAGAUGAACCA